rnacentral:rRNA from 1 species
UGACGCCGCGUGUGGAUGACGCCUUUCGGGUGUAACCACUUUCUUCGGGACGAGCAAGGACGGUACCGGAGGAAGAAGCCUCGGCUAACUACGUGC